UCAGAAGAGGUGCUGUGGGCAUCCAUCCACCAUGUCUACUUCUCCUGGGAACUGAACACGUGCGACUCUGCUAGCCAGUUCCAGAUGCCACCAGGAUGCUGGCCAGGCUUCCCUGGAUUGAAGACCCCACCAAUGUGUCCUGAAGCUCAGCUUCCCCAGAGACACACCCUACUA